AGGAGGUGCCAGGCUGGUUGCUGGUUGCUGGUUGCUAGCUGCCGCCGCUUGCCCGACUGUUCCGCGGCUUCAUUGUCACCCGGGCCUCGAAGCCAGCGCUGGGGCCGGGGGCGCGAGGUCAGCAGCCUGAAGCCUGGGCCUCACGCGUCCCAGCUGGACGGACCCCGCGCACCCCACGCCGUCCGACCCCGCAGGCCCCGCGCCCCAGGCCGAGCUCGCGCAGGUGAGGGGCGUGUGUAGGUGGGGGGCCACCGUGCACAGGUCCUGCUCGUCCACCAUGAAAGGCUCGCGGGCUGUCAGCGGCCCCCCCGAGGGCAGCCUGGAAGGCGUGGAUCUGAGUCUGACGGGUCUCCCUCUGCCUAUGUCCCGGCGCCCCAACAGCGCCUCCAUCGCCAAGCCCAUCAGCCGCUCCAUCUCCGUAGUCACAGGCAGCGAGCCGAGGAGGAAGGCGCUGGUGGAGGCCACAGGGCCUGGCGGCUCCCGGGCCAUCAAUAACCUUCGCAGAUCUAACAGCACCACGCAGGUCCACCAGCCGCAAGCCAACCAGGCGUGGAGCGGCCCCCUCAGGCCGGCAGAGCCCCCCGACUUCCUGAUGCUCUUUGAGGGCAGCCCUGGAGGGAGAAAGAGGCCAGACAGUCUGAGCAAAGCUUCCAGCAAGGAGGGAGCUACGUGGAACGUCCUGGAUGACCAGCCCAGGACGUUCACCUUGCCCCCCGACACCCAGAGCCCCAGCACCCUUGACGCACCAGUGGGUCCACAGAGGAGGGAGUGCGCCGUACCCCUGGCACCCAGCUUCACUGCCAACAACAGGAGCAACAAGGGAGCCGUGGGCAACUGCGUCACUACCAUGGUGCACAACCAUUAUGCCCCAGCAGAGACAGCGCCCCCCAAGAGCUCCAACCACACAGCGCCCUCCCUCAACAAUCUCAUCAAGGCUGCCACCGACGAGGGUGACAGCAGCAGCUUUGGGAAGCUGCCAAAGAACCUGGCCAGCAGCAGCCAUGGGGCCCGGAACAACUCUGCGGCCACCGCGGGCCUGCUCCGACGGAGGGAAGUGACGGAGGAGGAGGCUGAGAGGUUUAUCCACCAGGUGAACCAGGCCGCCGUCACCAUCCAGCGUUGGUACCGGCACCAGGCACAGCGGCGCCGAGCUGGAGCCGCCAGCCUGGAGUGCCUGCUGGCGUCCAAGCGACAGGGCCAGCGGCAGCGGCCGGGAGGGGCGGACCUCCUGGACCUGCACCGGCGGAAGGAGGCGGCCAGGAGGAAGCUCCGGGAGGAGAGGGCGCGCCAGGCCAGACAAGCAGCCAUUCAGGAGCUGCAGCAGAAGCGAGCCCAGAAGUCAGGCGAUGCUGAGCUUGGGCUGCCGAAGGGGACCCAGGACCCAGGGAAGUCCCGGCCGGCCCAGGAGCUGCCCCUGAGGCUGGGGGCUGCGCCUCACCAGACCCGCAAGGCCAAUAGCGCAGGGGCCAGUUUCCAUGCCCAUGGCCCAGAAGAGCCCCAGCAGCCGGUGCCCGAUUCAUCCCCGGAGCCCCGGCAGUUCUCCAAGGACAAGCCGCAGGACGCCAGCUCCCGGGACGCGCCCGGCAAGGCCCCCGAGACGGUGGACCUUGUCGGGAGCAGGGCCAAGUCCAGGGCCACCCUGGAUGAGCUGCUGGACACGCUGAAGCUGCUGGAGGAGGAGCCCGAGCCGCUGCCGCGCCCCAAGGCCUAUCACAAGGACAAAUAUGCCUGGACCGACGAGGAGGACGAUGCUAGCUCCCUGACAGCCGACAACCUGGAGAAAUUCGGGAAGCUCAGUGCAGCUGCCAGCCGCCCCGAGGACGGGACACUGCUCUCGGAGGCCAAGCUACGGAGUAUCAUGAGCUUCCUGGAUGAGAUGGAGAAAUCGGGGCAGGACUGGCCGGCCUCGGCCCCCCAGGGGCUCGUGCUGGAGGAGGGAACGGGGCGCCUGGAGUCCGCGUCCGAGGUGAACACGUCCGCGAUGCGGCUGAAGCUGGAGGUGGAGGAGAAGAAGCAGGCGCUGGUGCUGCUGCAGAGGGCGCUGGCGCAGCAGCGGGACCUCACCGUCCGGCGGGUCAAGGAGACGGAGAAGGAGCUGGGCCGGCAGCUGCGGCAGCAAAAGGAACACUACGAGGCCACCAUCCAGCGGCACCUGUCCUUUAUCGACCAGCUGAUCGAAGACAAGAAGCUCCUGGGUGAGAAGUGCGAGGCCGUGCUGGCCGAGCUGAGGCGGGGCGACCAGAGGCACAAGGAGACGGAGGCCCAGCUGCGGGAGCAGCACCAGCUGGAGAUUAAGAAACUCAAAGAGCUAAUGAGCGCCACCGAAAAAGUCCGCAGGGAGAAGUGGAUCAACGAGAAGACCCGAAGGAUCAAGGAGAUCACAGUCCGAGGCCUGGAGCCCGAGAUCCAGAAGCUGAUCGCCAAGCACAAGCAGGAGGUGAAGAAACUCAGAAGCCUGCACGCGGCUGAACUGCUGCAGGCGGAUGAGCGGGCGGCCCAGCGCUAUGGGCACCAGGCGGAGGCGCUGCGGGAGCAGCUGGAGCACGAGAAGGAGGCGCUGUGCCGGCAGGAGCGGGAGCGCGCCCAGCAGCGCUUCGAGCAGCAGCUGGAGCAGGAACAGCGGGCCCUGCAGCAGCUGCGGCUGCGGCUUCACAGUGAGGUGGCGGCGGAGAAGGAGCGGCUGGGCCAGCAGGCAGCCAGGCAGCGGGGCGAGCUGGAGGAGCUGAGGCAGCAGCUGGAGGACAGCAGCUCGGCCGGCGCCAGGGCUCUGCGGGCCGAGUUCGAGAAGGGACGAGAGGAGCAGGAGCGCAGGCACCAGAUGGAGCUGCAGGCCCUGAAGGAGCAGCUGGAUGUGGAGAGACAGAUGUGGGAGGCCAGCUGCGCCAAGAAGGAGGAAGCGUGGCUGCUGAACCGGGAACGGGAGCUGAAGGAAGAGAUGCGGAGAGGCCGCGACAAGGAGAUUGAGCUGGUCAUCCGCCGGCUGGAGGCCGACACGACGCUGGCCAGGGAGGAGAGUGACAGGGCCGCCGAGAGCCGCAUCAAGCGUGUCCGGGACAAGUACGAGGCGGAGCUCUCGGAGCUGGAGCAGUCGGAGCGGAAGCUCCAGGAACGGUGCUCAGAGCUGAAGGGGCGGCUGGCGGAGGCCGAGGGCGAGAGCAUGCGUCUGCAGGGCCUGCUGCGGCAGAAGGACCAGGAGCUGGCGGACCUGCGGGCGGUGAAUGAACAGCUGGCCGGUGAGCGGGGCAGCCUGGCUCAGGUGCUCCGCCAGGAGUUUGCCGACCGGCUGACGGCCUCCGAGGAGGAAAACCGGCAGAUCAGGGCCGAGCUGGCCGAGCUUCGGGCCCGCCAGCGGCUGGAGCUGGAGCAGCUUACGCGGGAGAAGCAGGCAGAGCUGGAGGAAAUGCAUGGGAGGGUGAAGACGGCCCUGGCAAAGAAGGAGGCGGCCGUGAGCAGUCUCCGGAAACAGCAUGAGGCCGCGGUGAGGCGGGCCGACCACCUGGAGGAGCUGCUGGAGCAGCGCAGGCGGCCGUUUCCAAGCACCAAGUGACCGCCCACCACCACGGCGUGGACAGGCCGACAGCAGCAGGGCUGGGGAUCCUGGUGGGAGGUGGACACGGCCCAGGCCCCGGCCUCCCCUCCUUCCCUCUGCCCUGGGUUCAGUGUCCUCCGGGUAGAGCAGCGUGGAUGCAUUUUAACAUGGCUCCCAGGAGACCCUGGAGGUGUGACAGCCUGGAGCCCUGGAGAGAUGGGCACUGAACAGGCCCUGCCCGCGAGGAGGGUGGAUGGCGGCAGAUGGGGUGCUCCUCCUUGGGGGCUUGCUGCCCCCCCCCUCCCCCCGUGCUGGGCUUUGUCUCUGCUGUUGCCUGGGCCGAGGACGUUGGGAACAGGCCGCUUGGCCCGGAAGGUCCUGCUCGCAUGGUGUGGGGACCCCACCGCCUGUGAGGCCGCCACAGGGCCGCUCCAUGGAAGCGGAGGCC